rnacentral:rRNA from 1 species
GACGUAGGGUCCAAGCGUUGUCCGGAUUUACUGGGCGUAAAGAGCGCGUAGGCGGUCUGUUAAGUGUGAAGUGAAAUCUCCAGGCUCAACCCGGAAACUGCUUUACAUACUGGCAGACUGAGUGAUGAAGAGGUUUGUGGAAUUCCUGGUGUAACGGUGAAAUGUGUUGAUAUCAGGAGGAACACCCAUGGCGAAGGCAAGCAACU